UGCUAGCAUUAUUCCACCCUGCGUCCCACUGCUGGCUUGCUUCUGAAGCUAAGCAGGGUUGGUCCUGGUUAGUCCCUGGAAAGGAGACCAGAUGCUGCUGGAAG
ensembl:rRNA 5S_rRNA 5S ribosomal RNA